rnacentral:rRNA from 1 species
GAUGAACGCUGGCGGCGUGCCUAAUACAUGCAAGUCGAGCGAACGGACGAGAAGCUUGCUUCUCUGAUGUUAGCGGCGGACGGGUGAGUAACACGUGGAUAACCUACCUAUAAGACUGGGAUAACUUCGGGAAACCGUAGCUAAUACCGGAUAAUAUUUUGAACCGCAUGGUUCAAAAGUGAAAGACGGUCUUGCUGUCACUUAUAGAUGGAUCCGCGCUGCAUUAGCUAGUUGGUAAGGUAACGGCUUACCAAGGCAACGAUGCAUAGCCGACCUGAGAGGGUGAUCGCCCACACUGGAACUGAGACGCGGUCCAGACUCCUACGGGAGGCAGCAGUAGGGAAUCUUCCGCAAUGGGCGAAAGCCUGACGGAGCAACGCCGCGUGAGUGAUGAAGGUCUUCGGAUCGUAAAACUCUGUUAUUAGGGAAGAACAUAUGUGUAAGUAACUGUGCACAUCUUGACGGUACCUAAUCAGAAAGCCACGGCUAACUACGUG